UGUUAAAAACUUUAUCCAUUUUUACUAUUCAAAACCGAUAUGGCUAACAGAAUAAUAAUCAAAUAGUUACACAUAGAGUGCCACAUGUACUUCAUACUCAUUUACGGAGACUAGUUUUUAAUAGUAAAAAUAGAUAAAAAAUUUAACA
rfam:Gossypium raimondii Chr10_contig_45, whole genome shotgun sequence.